rnacentral:rRNA from 1 species
UACGUAGGGGGCAAACGUUGCUCGGAAUUAUUGGGCGUAAAGCGCGCGUAGGCGGUUACUUAAGUCGGAUGUGAAAGCCCUCGGCUUAACUGAGGAAGUGCAUCCGAAACUGAGUAGCUAGAGUACGAAAGAGGGUCGCGGAAUUCCCGGUGUAGAGGUGAAAUUCGUAGAUAUCGGGAGGAACACCGGUGGCGAAGGCGGCGACCUGGGUCGAGACUGACGCUGAUGCGCGAAAGCGUGGGGAGCAAACAGG